rnacentral:tRNA from 1 species
GCCAGCGUAGCUCAGUUGGCCAGAGCAGCGCAUUCGUAAUGCGCGGGUCGAGGGUUCGAAUCCCCCCGCUGGCU